rnacentral:lncRNA from 1 species
GAUGCGCCGAAGUUGUUUAUUUAAUCUGAUUGAUGAUUUACAAGGACCCCGGGCACACAUAUUUAUACCCUCGAGUGGAUAGUAGUCCAUGGAUACAACACACGACUCCUAAUAGAUAAAAGGAAAUAACAAACUCUAUCUCUAACACGACACGGUUUCUAAUAUAUAAAAGAAAACAAACAAGUCCCGAUCGGACACUAACUCUCUUAGAGAUAAAGAAAAAUCUAAACUAACUCUAACUAACAGAUAGAUUUAAGUUACACAUAUUGUGAUUAUUCCCGAAUCUAUCUGUAACAUCUUAGGCCAAUCGGACUCUAUUUCUUAUCCGAUCCGGACUCCAUCGACUGAAUCCGAGUUGUAUUCCGCUUGGUCUUCUGUCCGAUUGCCUUUUUUCUAUCUGAUUCGGUUUUUUAUCGCGAUUUAAUCUAUAACGGCGAUUUGCUAAAAUAUGGCGUUAACACCACCAUCCCUGUAAGCUGACCCUGGACCUCUCCGUUUUACCACCCACCGGCCUCCUCGCCAGAUCUAGCCAAAGAAGAACCCAGGAUUAGAUGACAUUCCUUUAGCCGUCUGAGCUUCCCCUGCUAACAAGCUGCCGUCUCAAUCCAGCCUUAAAAACUCUACGCAGAGAAGGGGAGGAGCUCCAAACAAGACAGGUUUGGGUGCUCACCGGCAACGAGUUAGACAACCCACCGUAGUCAACUCCCUUACCACAACCAUCUAGGCCUGCGCUGACGUCGGAAACGUUACCGCUCUGGUUCCGACGCCACCCGCUGGCGCUCCCAUUGCCCGACCGCUCCCCACCUGGCCGCCAUGGCGGCAUCCCAGUUGCCUAGCCACCGAGGUCUGGUCGCCCAUGCCCGCACCAGCGAGCCAC